rnacentral:rRNA from 1 species
UACGGAGGGUGCAAGCGUUACUCGGAAUCACUGGGCGUAAAGGGCAUGUAGGCGGAACGGUAAGUCUGACUUUAAAGACUGAGGCUCAACCUCAGAAGUGGGUUGGAGACUGGCAUGCUUGACCUCUGGAGAGAGAACCGGAAUUCCUGGUGUAGCGGUGGAAUGCGUAGAUACCAGGAGGAACACCGAUGGCGAAGGCAGGUUCUUGGACCGAAGGUGACGCUGAGGCGCGAAAGUGUGGGGAGCGAACCGG